rnacentral:rRNA from 1 species
GAUGAACGCUAGCGGCAGGCCUAAUACAUGCAAGUCGAGGGGUAUAAGGAGCUUGCUUCUUUGAGACCGGCGCACGGGUGCGUAACGCGUAUGCAACCUACCUUAAUCAGGGGGAUAGCCCGGAGAAAUUCGGAUUAACACCGCAUAAAAUCACAGUAUUGCAUAAUACAAUGAUCAAAUAUUUAUAGGAUUAAGAUGGGCAUGCGUGUCAUUAGCUAGUUGGUAAGGUAGCGGCUUACCAAGGCGACGAUGACUAGGGGACCUGGGAGGAUUACCCCCCACACUGGUACUGAGACACGGACCAGACUCCUACGGGAGGCAGCAGUAAGGAAUAUUGGUCAAUGGACGCAAGUCUGAACCAGCCAUGCCGCGUGCAGGAUGACUGCCCUAUGGGUUGUAAACUGCUUUUAUAUAGGAAUAAAUGUACUUACGUGUAAGUAUUUGAAUGUACUAUAGGAAUAAGGAUCGGCUAACUCCGUGCCAGCCGCCGCCGUAA